rnacentral:rRNA from 1 species
AUACGGAGGGUGCAAGCGUUAAUCGGAAUUACUGGGCGUAAAGCGUACGUAGGCGGUUAUUUAAGUCAGAUGUGAAAUCCAGGGGCUCAACCCCGCAACUGCCUUUAAAACUGGCAAUCUAGAGUUAUGGAGAGGUAAGUGGAAUUCCUAGUGUAGAGGUGAAAUUCGUAGAGAUCUGAAGGAACACCAGUGGCGAAGGCGACUCCCUGGACUCGAACUGACGCUGAGGUACGAAAGCGUGGGUAGCAAACGGGAUUAGAAACCCUAGUAGUCC